GAUGAACGCUGGCGGCGUGCCUAAUACAUGCAAGUCGAGCGAACGGACGAGAAGCUUGCUUUUCUGAUGUUAGCGGCGGACGGGUGAGUAACACGUGGAUAACCUACCUAUAAGACUGGGAUAACUUCGGGAAACCGGAGCUAAUACCGGAUAAUAUUUUGAACCGCAUGGUUCAAAAGUGAAAGUCGGUCUUGCUGUCACUUAUAGAUGGAUCCGCGCUGCAUUAGCUAGUUGGUAAGGUAACGGCUUACCAAGGCAACGAUGCAUAGCCGACCUGAGAGGGUGGUCGGCCACACUGGAACUGAGACACGGUCCAGACUCCUGCGGGAGGCAGCAGUAGGGAAUCUUCCGCAAUGGGCGAAAGCCUGACGGAGCAACGCCGCGUGAGUGAUGAAGGUCUUCGGAUCGUAAAACUCUGUUAUUAGGGGAGAACAUAUGUGUAAGUAACUGUGCACAUCUUGACGGUACCGAAUCAGAAAGCCACGGCUAACUACGUG
rnacentral:rRNA from 1 species